CAGGGAGACAACAAAAUGUUUAAUAUUAUUAUUUUGCCACCUUAGGUCGAUCGGUAUCUCACGUUUUUAAUUUAUUAAGAAUUUCAUUUCCUAAGUUUUUCUAGGUCACACCCAUUAUUUUUCCUGGGCCAUUAGCUCAGGUGGUUAGAGCGCACCCCUGAUAAGGGUGAGGUCCCUGGUUCAAGUCCAGGAUGGCCCAUAUCUCUAUGUUGGGGGUAUAGCUCAGUUGGUAGAGCGCCUGCUUUGCAAGCAGGAUGUCAGCGGUUCGAGUCCGCUUACCUCCACUGAUCACCACCUCUUCCAUAAUUGGUAGAAAGGAAAUUUUUUGAGGUGUGAUCAAAUUCUGAAAGAAUCUAGCUUCCUAAUGAAAUCAUUAAGAUGCUGGACUCAUUGAAUUAAUUUCAUUGUUUUCAGAGAACCUUGACAACUGCAUAGAUUAUUUUUAAAGACAAUAAGCAUCUUUAAUGAUGCAGAUUUAUUAUUUGUGCAAAUGCAUUAAUAACAAUUCUAUUAAGCUGAUGCUUCAAUAUUUGAAGUUAUU
rnacentral:tRNA from 1 species